UGCGCACAACACGAGUUGGAAGCAAUUCUGGUGGGGACAUAUCGUCACUAUACUAUUUUGUGCCAUCCCGUGUUACCACCCUAGAAUCUCCGUUUUACCCCUGCGGGGGUAAUUACCCACAGGUUAGGAACCACUGAUAUAGUGUUUAACGAAAGAGUGAGACAAUUGCAUCAAUAAAUCAAUAAUUUCAACAAGCUUUAUCCGUCGAUUGUACUUACUUCAACGUUACUUAUUGAAUUUCUGAAAGUAUGUCCCAAAUCAUUAUUCUUGAAACCGGGUCAACACCGGAAGUGGGUUCAUCUAGGAAUACUACUGAUGGACGUCCAAUUAGUGAAAUGCCUAAACAUAAUUUUCGUUUGUUUCCGCCGCUGAGUAUUCCACAAGACUGAGUUUUUUAUGAGGAAUAAAUUAGAUUCAAUCCUUUUCUUCAAGCUGUGAUGGAAGCCGAAGGAAUCAUUCAGACAAAGCAAGGUAAAGUAAAAUAGAGUAUUGAUAAUGGGAACCGCAAUUAGAUACAUUGGACUAAGACCCUUUGUGAAAUAACUUUUGUAAGAUAUGCAAGAAUCUCCACUGGCAGCAAUUAAACCGGUAUCUUCUGUAAUUUCUGGAUAGAUACAAUUCAUUAGUAAAUAAUAAAAUAUUCGACAAAGGGGAAGGUUGGCAUAGUCUUGCAGUUGUCCAAAUCAUCCCUUAAUGAUGUUUAAUACUCUUAUACCGAGAGUAUAUACAGUGAGACAUUUUUUCUUAUCAAACACCACUAUGCCAACCUUUUUCUAUUUUAUAAUACUCACUACAGCAUGGGUUGUAAUUGAUUUUGCACAAGGCGUCUUUUUGCAUAGUCAACAUAUUAUCCCACUUGUACAACCAAAAUGAUUUUUUUGCAAAAGUGAUCAAACAGUUUGUCAGCCAGUACUGCGGACCGAUCAAUGCAAACACAUGAAAAGCAUUACUUAUGUUCUUGUAUGUCGCCUCGUCGCAGUUGUGCAAAAUACCAAUCACAAACGGACACACCAAACCAGUGAAAAUGGUAAUACUUGUGAGUGAACCUACAGCUUCCGCAACGCUACUUUUAUAACUGAAUAAGAAAACAAACGGAAUCAUCAUGGCGCCGUACAAACCCAGAACAAUCACCAAAGGAACUAGAAUAUACAAUAAUAUGAAUCCA